UUCGAGUAGCUGAGUUAAGCUUAUGGUAGUCGAUGCACACUCUCCAUCCAGUCAAUGUCCGUGUAGGAAUCAACUCAUUUCUCUCAUUUUCUAUCACUGUGAUUCCUCCUUUCUUAGGAACAACUUGCACUGCACUGAUCCAUGCACUAUCUGAUAUUGGAUAAAUAAUGCCUGCAUCGAGCAACUUCAAUACCUCAGCUCUAACCACUUCCUUCAUGUGUGGAUUCAAUCUCCGCUGCCCAUCAAUGCUUGGUUUAAAUUUUUCCUCCAUGAGUAUCUUAUGCAUGCAUAUAGAUGGGCUGAUCCCCUUUAUAUCUGCAAUAGACCAUCCAAUAGCUGUUUUAUUCUCCCUUAACACCCGAAGUAGUUU
rnacentral:lncRNA from 1 species